AAGACUAUACUUUCAGCGAUGAUUUCUAUAGUAUGUGACUUGAGAUGUUUCUCUGAAUGUGCAGAGCACCCAAAGCCACAAGGAGCCAGAGCAUCCUCUCCUGAGCAUAAAGCCGGCUCUAGGUAUCACUUCUGCGGCUGCCUCUUGCCAUUGAUGAUCAUUUUCCCUUUUCUCAGAAGAGGGUAGCGGGAGAGGAUGCAGUCUGAGGGGU